CCUACGGGAGGCAGCAGUGGGGAAUAUUGGGCAAUGGGCGCAAGCCUGACCCAGCAACGCCGCGUGAAGGAAGAAGGCUUUCGGGUUGUAAACUUCUUUUCUCAGGGACGAAGCAAGUGACGGUACCUGAGGAAUAAGCAACGGCUAACUAAGUGCCAGCAGCUGAGGUAAUACGUAGGUGUACAGCGUUAUCCGGAUUUACUGGGUGUAAAGGGCGUGUAGGCGGGACUGCAAGUCAGAUGUGAAAACCACGGGCUCAACCUGUGGCCUGCAGUUGAAACUGUAGUUCUUGAGUACUGGAGAGGCAGACGGAAUGCCUAGUGUAGCGGUGAAAUGCGUAGAUAUUAGGAGGAACACCAGUGGCGAAGGCGGUCUGCUGGACAGCAACUGACGCUGAGGCGCGAAAGCGUGGGGAGCAAACAGGAUUAGAUACCCGAGUAGUC
rnacentral:rRNA from 1 species